rnacentral:lncRNA from 1 species
UUAUUUUUGUUGGAGAGAAAUCAAACGUUCACCAUUUCAGUAAUGAAAUGGUAUAAUGGAGUAACUAUAUUUAUUUUUAUAUCUGGACACAGAGUUCUCUGGAAUACUAUAGGGCGCACCUGGAAAUCUUCUAGGGCGCAUCAGUGCACCCUGGUGCACACUUUGAGAACCACUGCUCUAGAGACUAAUCUCUAUCAGCUGUUAAGAAUUUAUUUCUUUAACCUGAUGAGGUUUGUGAUUUUAUUUUUCCCCCCUCCAAACUAAGCCUAAUUAAUAUGCAAAAAAUUUUGCUUAAUUUUCAUUGACAUUUUUUCAAAUUUUCUUU